GUCUCGUCGCGUCACGAUUCUCGUAGAAGAGACCUGAUUAUCGAGGAAGAGCGGUCGGUGUCGUGCGAUUUUGUCUGAUCGCCAAAUCCAGCGAAUCGACGAACGAGAGACCUUGCAUUCUUUGUGAAGUUCAAAAUCGUCAAUAAAUGACCGACCAUAAUUCGUUGAAGAGGAAGAGGAACUGCUUAAAAUGUGAAGCUUAGAAGGUGACUGGUUGGCUGGCUGAUUGCCUCCGGGAUCUUGGAGCAGCGUAUUUUCAAGCAAACAUUGCGACAGAGUGGAGCCAUUCGACUUUACAAACUUUGCAUUUGCAUAAAACCGAAGCAAAGCUGGUCGACUGUAUUAAGUUCAAGAUCACGAGGAAUCCUCGAGGCACCGAAUCCCUACGCACUGCGUCACGAUCAAGAAUAUCGUUAACAUCUCUUCCACGAGUGUCCUUAGAGUUAAACGAUAUUCAAAUUCAAAACAGACCGCGGCGGUCGUUAUGGCUAUACAUAUAUACAAACGAGCACGUUUCUUUGAACUCUCCUGUAACCUUCCUUCAUGAUGGGUAGUUUUUACCGAUCGAAGAAUCAUCGGCUAUUGGUCAACAAUUUUAAAUCUCAAUCUCGUCUAAGUUUCAAAGUACGUGCACAAUUUACGAAUUGGAAACAAAUACCUUUCAAUUUUUUUUCUUAUUUUACUGCUAUAACGUAUCUGUACAGAAUAUAUGAAGAAACAGAUGAGUAGAGUGAAUACAACAAUUUUGGUUUUCAUGUAUAGAAAAUUUGAUUAAGCGACGAUGGCUCAUAUAAAAUUUAGUAAUAAAUUCAAUGAAAUUUGGUCGAUCGAACGAAGGUCGGGCCUCUCGUUAGAAUAAGAGCUACUUCAGUAGCAUCGAACAAAAGUGAAGUAUAAAAACGUGUCGACAGUCACGCGCAUCAUAAAAGUAACUUUUCCAAUCUGGCAUUUAUUACACGAUAAUAGUCGAUUACAUAACUUUCUCAUUGUUAAUUGAAAGAGAUUGCAAAUAGUUGGUGAAACGAACGAAACAGCUACUUUUGCUUUUAGCAGAGUCCUAACAACUGACCCGUUCUACGAAACAACGAGCAAAUUACAAUAUACUUGAAUUGUUGGUAGGCAAUAAAACGGAAGUUUAUCUCAAAGGAAAACGUUUAACCACAAUGCUUAAAAUUCAUUCUAUUACUAUCGCGUGCUACUUCAUGUUUUUUUGCAUCUAAGAACGUAUAAUUGCAUUCAAUAACAUUGCGCAAGGUGUUAAUAAGAAAAUUGUUUUAGGCAUUCAACAGAAUAAUAGUAUAUUGCAAAUACGCUAUUUUUUUAAAUAGGCUAUAUAUCUAUAAACUGGAAAAUGACCGAUCAAUGAAUAUUUUUACAAAGUGUUCACUGUCGAUGCAACGUCUAUUUCUAAAUGUACGAGGCAUCAAAUAUUGAUCGCUAGUGACAUCUAAACUCUUCUACGGUAAAUGUGACGUUGGUGUUUUAUAAGACAUACUGUAUAAUUUAUUAAGUUUUCAAAGCAGAUACUCACUAAUUAUUUUCACGGAUAGUUGUUUAGACAGAUCGGUUUGGAUACGCGACUGCGAAUUUCGGAGCAGUCUAUUUCCCUCCCUCACACACACGAUUGUUCACACGAACGAACGAACGAACAGAAGGCACGAUAUACACCGAUGAAACCACCUGUACAAAUCGGUGAACGUGGAGCGGUAUCUCGUUGCGGUAGUGGGCAGUGAAUGGCUGUCGCACGCGGAGCAAUUGCUCACUCGAAGAAGAAUUCAAGAGGAGUUCUCGCAUUUUCCACAUGGCACACGACCUAAUUCGUCCAUCUUACGUAAGCGGCAACAUUGGAUCAUUCAUGCUCAGCUGAUCGCAAUACGCGCGCGCUGCUGCAAUUAAUGCGCGAGUACACCGGUACUUUUCUAUCUGUAGAAAUACGCACAGAGGGGUUUCUAAAUAUAAUUUCCAGGGGUUAACGGUCGAUUCGUUUUAAGUUCGAAGAUUUAAUCAAGUCGGACGAUGUUUUACGACGGUGGUUUAUGAACGGUACGAAAAUUAUCCAACCGCUUCCGUCAGUGUCACUGCGUCAGAUGGUACAGUAGCUCGUAAAAGAAGUAGAUCUCACGGCGCAACAUUUGAGACAAAGUACCGUAUUCGGUUCGAUUUUAUCGAUCGACCGAUAACAGAGGACCCGAUACACAAAGAAUUUAGCCUUGGCCUACUGUUUCACCGACUUCGGGACACGAACCAACGAAUCACCAUCGCAAAAGUCGAGCGUGAGUGUUGAUAGUCCGUUGCACAACGGUAGAAACGUGCCCACGAUGUUCUUUCCCGGCUGGCGGCUUUAAUGGAGCGAUUCGUACCGUUUGUGAAUCGUGAUUAACACGAUUCGGUAUGCUCGACAUUGUGUCCUGUUUUUCAGCCAGCUGAUGGAUCGCGCCUCGAGGUCACCUGACCUACAUUAUUUUUCGCAACGAGGCCCACCUUUUUGUCAUAUCGUUCCUAUACUUCCCUGGAGAUUUGCUGAACCAUUUAAACGAGAGCACGCGAGAAACGAGAAGAGAAAAAGAAGUUACGCAAUGCUUCUCUAAGCUGAAAGAAGAACUGAAAUCUUAUAUUGGAUCAGUGGAAGUUUAUCCAAAGAAAAAGAAGUUCGGAAAAUAAUUCUGUAGGGAGUUAACUGUACAGAAUUGUGUAGCGAGUUCCCUCUGUUUCAUCGCAACGCAACGUAAUCAUACGUUGGAAAAUAAAGAUUCGAUUGGAUGACUCUCCUUUGA